rnacentral:snRNA from 1 species
UCACUCACCCGGCAGGGGAGACACCAGGAUCAGGAUGGUGGCGUCCCCGGGGGGAGGCUCACCCGCCGCGCUCCAGAUGUGCUGACCACUGCAAGUCCCCCAGACGUGGGAAACGCGGCUGCGGGAUUUGUGGUAGUGGGGUCUGCAUGUGCCCCCUC